rnacentral:misc_RNA from 1 species
AAUUCUCAACCUUAUCAGUUUAUUUCUGAUAGUGGCUUGGAUGUGGGGGUUUUCUUGCUGGCUGAGGUCAGCUCCCCUUAAAUGCAUUAGCUGGUGCCCCGUGUGGACUGUCUAUUGGUGUGAUAAUUAUCUACGCCUUGGAUGUCUGCAAUGGGUUUUGCGCUGCUUCUAACUGUCUAUUCGUUUGGACAAUACAUGACA